GCCCGACCCCGCCUCCCGUCUAUCCGCAAAAUCAGCCAAUCAAACCCAUCAAUCAAGCUAUUCAAUCCCCGUUUCCAGCCGGCCCGGCCUCCACCCCCGGCCGGCUGCCACCGCCGCCUCCUCCCGUGAUCCCGUCAGCGGCGCACCCCCGACCGCGCGGCCGCAUCCGCAAGGUGAGCUCCGCACCGGAUGGCAGGAGCGACGCCGCCCCGGAAGGCAAGAGCGACGCCGUCGGGCCACCCUCUGCUCCGCACCUCGUGGCGUCGGAGGAGGCCCGCACUUGCCAAUCUCGAUCGAGGAGGCUUCCUCGUCGCACCGAGACGGCGGUCUUGCCCACAUCCAGAUCUCGCGACCGUGCGUCCCGCCGGCGACUCGAGCCCGCCUCGCGCUGUCCCGGUGAGGCUCUGCGCCGCCGGCUCUCGUGCCGCCCUAUGUCGACCGCUCCCGUGCCUCCCUGCGCCGCCUGCUCCGAUCUUGCGACCCUGCGUACCGCCGGCGAUACGAGCCCCGCCUCGCGUCGUCUCGGUGUGCCUCUGCGCCGCCGGCUCUCAUGCCGCCCUGCGCCGACCGCUCUCGUGCCUCCCUGCGCGGCUGCGCCACCGGAUCCCGUCCCGCUCUGCGCCUCUGGCUCCAGUGACUCCCUGCGCCGCCGGCGACCGUGCCACCCCGGGUUGCUGCAGCGCCUGCUCCCCAACUUCUCCGCUUUGGUGGUGCGGAGGUGCGGCUCCGGUGAGCUCGCGUGACAUCCGUUGCAGCCUCCGGCAAGCUUCUCGCGCGGCAGCCCCUGCAGCUUUGCCGAGCUCUUAGCACCUCCCGAGCUUGAACGGCCUCCUCCUCUGCAGCACAUACCUCCACAGGAACGUCGUCGGAGAUAGCCCAAUCCUCAUCCCCAAAGUUGGAUUGGUGUCCGCCAGCCGAUCUGUGCAAUCUGUUCUGAGAUUGCCUCCGCCAUGCCUGCAGGAGUUCCUGGUGAUUUGAUGAAUCGCCCCCUCAUCUAAACCAGCGGAGAAGAACAUACUGAGCUGUGGUGAUCAAUAACCAAAGGAUUAUACAUGGUCAAUCGAUUGGAUCUUGGGUAAAAAUUUUCUUUAACCAUGAUUGCUCGCAGUUUAAAGGUGGUUGUUUAUGAAGUGAAUCUCCCUCGAUUCUAAGAGCUCAACUUUCAUUAUGCCAAAAAAAAAGGAAAAUGUUCACUAGCAGCUCAAUAUAUAAAUUCACUCUCAAGUAGUCUACCAUGUCAUCAGCUUGAUCAGAUUACAGAAGCAUGGGGGCUGUUCUUUUCCUUCCUGUGAUCUUUCUGUAUUUCCUUUCCAUAUACUAAACUGUGUCAGGUUUCCAUAUACUAUUGAUCAUCUUUCUGUUUUCACAUGUUGCCCAUCCCUUACUACAUGGCAAGAAUGAAACGAGUCUGAUGAAAAUUGCAGCAGUUGCUGGACGUGCUGCUACCUAACCAGUGGGUGUAGGCUGGGAACGAGUGAUUCAGUGCACAAGUGUUGUGAUUAGCUGGUUGCUUGGCAUUUGUAUGCCCGGGUAAGUUGCAAUGAUUAUUUCAAUGCAUGGCGAGGCAUGUAGCAAGGUCCCUGAGAUGGUAAAGACCCCUCCUAUUUUUUCUAGGUCCUUAAUGUUUUGUUAACAUGAUUGCGAUACGAUUUGGCUCAAACCUCUGCUCCUUUUAAUUUUUAAUGAAUAUGGUCACUAUAUUUUGGAUUGUUGGUCUUUAAAUUAAUCAGCACCAUACCCUCUUAUCAAAAUGGUAUCCUUCAGACUUGUCAAACUUGACAUCAUGCUGACGUGCCGUUGAUGGAGAAAACCAAGGACACGAAACUAUCACAAUAAUGAAGGUGACAUGGUUGUCUUCGCAUGGUUGCAGUUGUCAAUUUUGAUUUUGCUUUGCUGGACUUUAUAAAGCAGGCAAGGUGUUUGCAGCAAUGCCUUGCUGAAAUUUUCAGUAUGUUUGCUUGAUCUGUUUUAGUUGAAGCGUGCUGCAUGUUUAGAUGAACAAACUUCCUUAUUUUUCUCUUUGAAUUAAAUAGUAAAUAGAUAUAUGACACACCUCACAAUGCAUGUUUAAAAGCAAGUUUGCCAGUCUGGAGCGCAUAGCAACUUAUGUCUAUAUUCCAAUUUUUAAUUCAUUGUUGUUGACCCCAGUCAUUUUGUUAGUAUUGAUAUUCCUAAAACUAGGAUGAUAUAAUUACUCAUGGUUGUUAAUGGAGAUAGGAUCACUAUGUUUUUCUCCUAAAAGUUUUCAGUAUUUGUCAAAUUAAUGCUUUGCUUGAAAUUAGAAUAUGUUCCUCCUGUCUAUUGUAAUUAAGACACUCAAGCAAAGUGCUACAACCUUCUGUUCCAUGAAGACACCAUAAUUUCUGUUCACUAGGAACUAAUUAUUUCUUUUUGUUGUCGUGAUAAGUCAUUCACUCUUUAGUUUCCCAGUUAUUCUUCAGUUUCCCAGUCUCCCAAGCAUGAAAACAAAUGGGUGGAUAACCUUUUUUAUAAAAUAGUAUAUCUUAGAGCUAGGAAAAUAAACCAUUGUCUAACAUAAUUCUUUCUUGAUCAGUAUGUGCUUAGAAUUUUAGAUUAUUAUAGACAUCUUAGUAACUGUUUUUUUUGUUCAGUAUAGCUAUCUGAAUUCUCAAUUUUGAUUUGGUUCCCGCUUUUCUGUAAUUGUAUCAAGUGCCUUUACCCAAAGAACAUAAAAAAAUUCCUACCAUUUCCAUUCUCAUGUGCUUGGAUAACAUGGAGGCAGUGUGUCAGUGCAAAUGUGUGAGUUUCUUGCUUAAUUCGAGAGCCGGUAUCUUUUAAGAAUCACCCUAAACUAGCUUGUAAUAGUGAGCAACUUGAUGAAAGAUAUCAAAUAUGCUCUUAAGUAGGAAUCUAGCUGGAGAGUUUCUUGCUUAGAAGUGCUCUGCUGGUGAACCAGAAACAAUAUACAUAGUUAGUGAUGCCAUUUGUGAAAUGCAAUUAGGUAAAGCUCAGUUCAAACUUUACCUAAUUUUGUUAGGUACCAUUUGACUAAUUGAAACUGAAGCCAUAUUAUUUAGUUGUGUGAGGCCUCCAAAUCGCAUAUAGCUAAGGCUUGAAUUGAUAUAACUUUAGUUCAAUGUAAUCAUUGAGCUGGGUAUAUGAUUUUCAAAUAUACCACUGGUUUGUAUGCGUGUUUUAAAAAUUUACACAUGGUGAGACUUGGAGGUAACUCACGUUUCAGCUUUCCAGGAGGGGAGUCCCGUCCUAACGUAAUCGACCAAGGAGUACUAUUUGAUACGAGAACAAGAAUAGAAAUUGAGAUGUGCUUGCCUAAAAAUGUCACCAUGAAUCAGUGACCAGAGCUAUGUUCUAGAUGCAAAUCAAUUGUGUAGGCCUAUUUUUCUUGUCAUGUAGGUCAGGGACAACCCGGUUGGCUCACACGCUCUAUCUCCGUAUCAAAAUUUGCCUAUCUCACAAAGACCAGCAAACUGAACAAGUGCUAGAAUUUGAGGAAGCAAAGAAGCAACAAAAUAGCUUUAUAAUUCAAAUUGUAAACUAAAGCUCUAUUCGAAUUGUAUGCAAAGAAGCGAACAGAGGAAAAGCAUGUGUACUCUGCUGCUCCGAUUGCUAGCUCGAUGAGUUUAUCUGAAGAUAUUGGGGAAGAUGUGGUCUCUAUCCUUCAGGAUGAUGGUGUAGGCAAUGGGGUUGAUAGGGAGCUUCGAGCACCAAUAUGUUGUAUCCUUGGGCACGUGGAUGCUGGAAAGACAAAGCUGCUUGAUUGCAUCCGGCGAAGCAAUGUUCAGGGUGGAGAGGCUGGGGGAAUCACUCAGCAGAUUGGUGCCACCUACUUACCAGUUGAGAAUAUCAGGGAGGGGUCCUCCCUGAAAGCUGAGGUCACCAUCAAAGUUCCUGGUUUGCUUGUAAUUGAGACCCCUGGCCACCAGUCACUCAGUAACAUGCGCUUGAGGGGAUCAAGUUUGUGUGACAUUGUUGUAGUGGUUGUUGAUAUUACGCGUGGGCUUGAGAAGCAGAUGAUUGAGUCCCUUUGAUCUUUUGAAACACCGCAAUGUGAGGUUUAUUGUUGUCUUGAACAAGGUUGCGAUAUGUGUUUUUUUAAUUGUAUUACAGUAUAAUUACAAUUUAUUUUAUUUUAAUCAUCACGAAUUGUGAAUUAAGUAUUAUUAUUCAGUAUAUAAUAUAGAAUAUACAAUUUUAUUUUA